rnacentral:rRNA from 2 species
CAGUUAUCGUUUAUUUGAUAGUACCUUACUACUUGGAUAACCGUGGUAAUUCUAGAGCUAAUACAUGCUGAAAACCCUGACUUCGGAAAGGGUGUAUUUAUUAGAUAAAAAACCAAUGCCCUUUGGGCUCUUUGGUGAUUCAUGAUAACUUAACGGAUCGCAUGGCCUUGCGCCGGCGACGGUUCAUUCAAAUUUCUGCCCUAUCAACUUUCGAUGGUAAGGUAUUGGCUUACCAUGGUUUCAACGGGUAACGGGGAAUUAGGGUUCGAUUCCGGAGAGGGAGCCUGAGAAACGGCUACCACAUCCAAGGAAGGCAGCAGGCGCGCAAAUUACCCAAUCCCGACACGGGGAGGUAGUGACAAUAAAUACUGAUACAGGGCUCUUUUGGGUCUUGUAAUCGGAAUGAGUACAAUUUAAACCUCUUAACGAGGAACAAUUGGAGGGCAAGUCUGGUGCCAGCAGCCGCGGUAAUUCCAGCUCCAAUAGCGUAUAUUAAAGUUGUUGCAGUUAAAAAGCUCGUAGUUGAAUCUUGGGCCUGGCUGGCCGGUCCGCCUCACCGCGUGUACUGGUCUGGCCGGGCCUUUCCUUCUGGAGAACCUCAUGCCCUUCAGUGGGUGUGUUGGGGAACCAGGACUUUUACUUUGAAAAAAUUAGAGUGUUCAAAGCAGGCCUUUGCUCGAAUACGUUAGCAUGGAAUAAUAGAAUAGGACGUGCGGUCCUAUUUUGUUGGUUUCUAGGACCGCCGUAAUGAUUAAUAGGGAUAGUCGGGGGCAUCAGUAUUCAAUUGUCAGAGGUGAAAUUCUUGGAUUUAUUGAAGACUAACUACUGCGAAAGCAUUUGCCAAGGAUGUUUUCAUUAAUCAGUGAACGAAAGUUAGGGGAUCGAAGACGAUCAGAUACCGUCGUAGUCUUAACCGUAAACUAUGCCGACUAGGGAUCGGGCGAUGUUUCUAUCUUGACUCGCUCG